AGUUGUCUGAUGCUUCUUUGAACGAUAACGGCGUCCAGCGGAGGACGGGUGAGUAAUGCCUACUAAAUUGCCCUGCUGCGGGGGAUAACCAUUGGUAACGAUGGCUAAUACCGCAUGAGGCCUGGGGGCCACAGAGGGGGACCUUCGGGCCUCUCGCGUCGGGAUAUGCCUAGGGGGGAUUAGCUGGUUGGUGAGGUAAUGGCUCCCCACGGGGACGAUCCCUAGCUGGUCUGAGAGGAUGAUCAGACACAGUGGAACUGACACACGGUCCAGACUCCGGCGGGAGGCGGCAGUGGGGAAUAUUGCAGAAUGGGCGCUAGCCUGAUGCAGACAUGCCGCGUGUGUGAAGAAGGCCUUCGGGUUGUAAAGCACUUUCAGUCGUGAGGAAGGUGGUGUAUGUAAUAGUUGCGUUAUUUGAAGUUAGCGACAAAACAAGCACCGGCUACCUCCGUGCCAGCAGCCGCGGAAAUACGGAGGGAGCUAGCGUUAAUCGGAAUUACUGGGCGUAAAGCGCAUGCAGGUGGUUUGUUCAGUCGGAUGUGAAAGCCCGGGGCACUACCUCGGAAUUGAAUUUAAAACUGGAAGACUAGAGUAAUGUACAGGGGGGUAGAAUUUCAGGUGUAACAUCUGAAAUGCAUAU
rnacentral:rRNA from 1 species